AGAUUGAACGCUGGCGGCAUGCUUUACACAUGCAAGUCGAACGGCAGCACGGGGGCAACCCUGGUGGCGAGUGGCGAACGGGUGAGUAAUAUAUCGGAACGUACCCGGAAAUGGGGGAUAACGUAGCGAAAGUUACGCUAAUACCGCAUAUGCCCGUAAGGGGGAAAGCGGGGGAUUCGCAAGAACCUCGCGUUUCGGAGCGGCCGAUAUCGGAUUAGCUAGUAGGUGAGGUAAAGGCUACACCUAGGCGACGAUCCGUAGCUGGUCUGAGAGGACGACCAGCCACACUGGAACUGAGACACGGUCCAGACUCCGUACGGGAGCAGCGAGUGGGGUAAUUUGGAACUAGUGGGCGACGAAGCCUAGACUCCAGCCAGUCGCCGCGU
rnacentral:rRNA from 1 species